rnacentral:rRNA from 1 species
GUGAGGAAUAUUGGUCAAUGGGCGGAAGCCUGAACCAGCCAUGCCGCGUGAAGGACGAAGGCGUUCUGCGUUGUAAACUUCUUUUAUAAGGGAAGAAACCUGCGAUAUCUGUUGCAGCCGACGGUACCUUAUGAAUAAGCACCGGCUAACUCCGUGCCAGCAGCCGCGGUAAUACGGAGGGUGCAAGCGUUAUCCGGAUUCACUGGGGUUAAAGGGUGUGUAGGCGGGCUUGUAAGUCAGGGGUGAAAUCCUACAGCUUAACUGUAGAACUGCCUUUGAUACUAUAGGUCUUGAAUAUUGUUGAGGUGGGCGGAAUACAUCAUGUAGCGGGGAAAUGCUUAGAUAUGAUGUAGAACACCGAUUGCGAAAGCAGCUCACUAAGCAAAUAUUGCCGCUGAGGCACGAAAGCGUGGGGAUCAAACAGGAUUAGAAACCCCGGUAGUCC